rnacentral:tRNA from 1 species
GCGGGUGUAGUUUAGUGGCAAAACUCCGCUCUUCCAAAGCGGUAUCGUCGGUUCGAUUCCGUCCACCCGCACCA